rnacentral:rRNA from 1 species
UACGAAGGGUGCAAGCGUUGCUCGGAAUUAUUGGGCGUAAAGGGUAUGUAGGUGGUAAUAAAAGUCUGGGGUGAAAUCCCUGAGCUCAACUCAGGACGUGCCUUGGAAACUUUAUUACUAGAGUGCUGGAGAGGUCCGCAGAAUUCCCGGUGUAGCGGUGAAAUGCGUAGAGAUCGGGAGGAAUACCAGAGGCGAAGGCGGCGGACUGGACAGCAACUGACACUCAACUACGAAAGCGUGGGUAGCAAACAGG